GGAGAUAUUGUAAGACCCCGCAAAGUUUCCUCAUCGUUCAAGUGUUAGAGCGUGUUAAGAAAAGUGUAAUUUAUGCCCUAAAAGAUUGAGAAAAGACUUCCCAAGUAAUUGGUAUUUAAAACAUAUAAAAUUUUAUUAAACUUGGGUUAUUGUCAUGUAGAUAAUUGAAUUAGCUUUCCAAAGAUACCAAUUUCAUCCAAAUCCUGUAUCGGGGUGAGAGGUUAUGGACAUUUUACUGAGAGUUAUCAAAACAACCCUG
rnacentral:lncRNA from 1 species